UACGAAGGGGGCUAGCGUUGUUCGGAAUCACUGGGCGUAAAGGGCGCGUAGGCGGCCGAUCAAGUCGGGGGUGAAAGCCUGUGGCUCAACCACAGAAUUGCCUUCGAUACUGUUUGGCUUGAGACCGGAAGAGGUAAGUGGAACUGCGAGUGUAGAGGUGAAAUUCGUAGAUAUUCGCAAGAACACCAGUGGCGAAGGCGGCUACCUGGACCGGUUCUGACGCUGAGGCGCGAAAGCGUGGGUAGCAAACAGG
rnacentral:rRNA from 1 species